ACCCAAAACCGACACAGGUGGUCGGGUAGAGAAUACCAAGGCGCUUGAGAGAACUCGGGUGAAGGAACUAGGCAAAAUGGUACCGUAACUUCGGGAGAAGGUACGCUCUUGAUGGUGAAGUCCCUCGCGGAUGGAGCUGACGAGAGUCGCAGAUACCAGGUGGCUGCAACUGUUUAUUAAAAACACAGCACUGUGCAAAAUCGCAAGAUGACGUAUACGGUGUGACGCCUGCCCGGUGCCGGAAGGUUAAUUGAUGGGGUUAGCGCAAGCGAAGCUCUUGAUCGAAGCCCCGGUAAACGGCGGCCGUAACUAUAACGGUCCUAAGGUAGCGAAAUUCCUUGUCGGGUAAGUUCCGACCUGCACGAAUGGCGUAAUGAUGGCCACGCUGUCUCCACCCGAGACUCAGUGAAAUUGAAAUCGCUGUGAAGAUGCAGUGUACCCGCGGCUAGACGGAAAGACCCCGUGAACCUUUACUACAGCUUGGCACUGAACAUUGAACCUACAUGUGUAGGAUAGGUGGGAGGCUAUGAAGACGUGACGCCAGUUGCGUUGGAGCCGUCCUUGAAAUACCACCCUUGUAUGUUUGAUGUUCUAACUUAGACCCAUUAUCUGGGUUGAGGACAGUGCCUGGUGGGUAGUUUGACUGGGGCGGUCUCCUCCCAAAGAGUAACGGAGGAGCACGAAGGUGGGCUAAUCACGGUUGGACAUCGUGAGGUUAGUGCAAUGGCAUAAGCCCGCUUAACUGCGAGAAUGACGGUUCGAGCAGGUGCGAAAGCAGGUCAUAGUGAUCCGGUGGUUCUGUAUGGAAGGGCCAUCGCUCAACGGAUAAAAGGUACUCCGGGGAUAACAGGCUGAUACCGCCCAAGAGUUCAUAUCGACGGCGGUGUUUGGCACCUCGAUGUCGGCUCAUCACAUCCUGGGGCUGAAGUCGGUCCCAAGGGUAUGGCUGUUCGCCAUUUAAAGUGGUACGCGAGCUGGGUUUAGAACGUCGUGAGACAGUUCGGUCCCUAUCUGCCGUGGGCGUUGGAAGAUUGAAGGGGGCUGCUCCUAGUACGAGAGGACCGGAGUGGACGAACCUCUGGUGUUCGGGUUGUGUCGCCAGACGCAUUGCCCGGUAGCUAAGUUCGGAAUUGAUAAGCGCUGAAAGCAUCUAAGCGCGAAGCGAGCCCUGAGAUGAGUCUUCCCUGACAGUUUAACUGUCCUAAAGGGUUGUUCGAGACUAGAACGUUGAUAGGCAGGGUGUGUAAGCGUUGUGAGGCGUUGAGCUAACCUGUACUAAUUGCCCGUGAGGCUUAACCAU
rnacentral:rRNA from 1 species